UAGGGAAUCUUCGGCAAUGGACGAAAGUCUGACCGAGCAACGCCGCGUGAGUGAAGAAGGUUUUCGGAUCGUAAAACUCUGUUGUUAGAGAAGAACAAGGACGUUAGUAACUGAACGUCCCCUGACGGUAUCUAACCAGAAAGCCACGGCUAACUACGUGCCAGCAGCCGCGGUAAUACGUAGGUGGCAAGCGUUGUCCGGAUUUAUUGGGCGUAAAGCGAGCGCAGGCGGUUUCUUAAGUCUGAUGUGAAAGCCCCCGGCUCAACCGGGGAGGGUCAGUGGAAACUGGGAGACUUGAGUGCAGAAGAGGGGAGUGGAAUUCCAUGUGUGGCGGUGAAAUGCGUAGAUAUAUGGAGAAACACCAGUGGCGAAGGCGGCUCUCUGGUCUGUAGCUGACGCUGAGGCUCGAAAGCGUGGGGAGCAAACAGG
rnacentral:rRNA from 1 species